CCUGGAAGCCGGCUGGCGAGUGCUGGCCACCACCUCUAGAACGAUGCCUCAGCAUCAGACUUUGGGAAAUCAGGCUCACCUGGUUGGGUUUUCAUUCUAGGUAGCUCUUAGCAGGGUCGUAGAAGGUAGGAGGGCAAAACCCAAGUCCAUUGGUCCCUGUCUUCACUACAGCUGUUACUACCACUGGUAGAAAUUAGAGGUCCCACUUUUGCUACAAACUUAGGUUAAUUUAGUACAAGACAAGUGGAAUUGCCUGUCUGCGAGGAGCGAUCGGUUUCUGCCCCUUACCAGGACUCUCAAAUGUAAUUUCCUAAUGAAGAGCAAUGGUUGUCGCUGCUCCGCUCCCAGCUCAUCCACACAGACAAACAAGCAUCUUGGCAAAGCAUUAAACACAGCAGCCUGGUGCAGAGAACAGCAAGUGCUGAGAUGAAUGAAACAAGGGCCAGGAGGUGAGGCUCCAGGGAAGGUGGUACUGCGAACACAGCAGGGUUUAAUUGCCUGCUCGCUGGUGUCUCUCCUUGAUUUAAUUUUCUUGUCUCUCAGACCUGAGCCUUCCCCAGGGUCCUGCAUUCAUCUUACUCGUGACUCCAGGGAACAGUCUCUUUCUCAGACCACAGGGGAUGGUCUUUGUUUCCAUGUACUUUGUCUACUUGCUUCUAGAACAGUGCCUGAGUUCCUGUCUCCCCGCACAUCCGCCUGCUUACACUCUGGUUUUGGGCCUCACUGCUUUCUCUUUGCUUCUAGCACUUCCUGUGUGAUGACAAUGACACCUCCAUCUGAAGAGCUGCGUCCCAAGUAUUCACAUACAAACCGGCAAUAUCUGCUGCGGGGGACUCCUCUACAAGGAAAGGUGGUGCUUGGGAUGCUUGGUGAGUGCUUGGUGCCGCGUAGCUCUAGAGGAAGUCUGUUCACUCCAAGGACCUCCAUGCCAAGGGCCUGCCCCAGCUCAGUGGGAGUUUUGCAAACAUCUUCAGUGGGAGCAAGAGUGGGGCUUCCACACGUCACAGUGCGUACCUGCAUGCCCAUGAUGCAGGCACCGAAAAGCCAACCUCGGAGCAAACGUUGUUCUGGUUCUUUCCUUUUUGAAACACAAUGGAAUGCCUGGACAUUGACUCUACUUUUCUAUUGGCUGGUGUCACUGUUGCCUGGGUGACCGCUAUGUGCAAACACUCUUUUAGGGAACUCUGUGAGGUAGCAGCCCUGGGAAUCUGCAGCCUGAGGGAGAGAGCAGCUCCCAGCACUGAGGAAAGAACUCAAGUGCACUGAGACAGAUCAUGGACAUGGAAGAGGAAGAUGAAGCCAUCAGAGAGAAAGCACAGAGUUUAAUCGAAACUGUCAUCAAGGGCGUGAAAGAGCAACUUGAAGCUUUGCAAAAAAAAGAGAGAGGUGGUCUGUUUUCAGAAGCUGAUUACGUCAUUGGAAACAUUCAGUGGAUCGCAUGCAAGGACUUUACAGUGGAGAGGGGAAGGCAGCAGAUUGAGGAGUACAUAUCUCACUUCCCUUAAGUCAGCUGUCCCAGCGAGAGGGGAUCUCUUACAGUGUGGUGUGUGUUCAGCAGACCUGGGAGUUCCAUGAAAGCUGGCUUCACUGGUCAGAUUUCCUCAAGGAAGAACAACUGAAGUACAGCAAGAGGUACCAUUACCGGGUCCGUUGGAGCAUCCCGACAUGCAGGAAGCCCAUCCCUCAAGCGACUGCAUGCAUCUACUUCAUUGUAGAGAUCUCCAACAUUAAACCUCCUACCUUGCCCAUUGAGGUGUUCUUCAUCUUGGAAUCCAAUAGGCUGAUUCACAGACCAGGACGGUGUCGCUUUAGGGAAAAGUGGCUCAAGGAUAUAAUUGAAAGCAAAAUGAUCCUCAUGGAGAGCAUAACCUUCUAAACAAGUGUAUACUGCAGAUUAAAAAUCCACUCUUCCAGGA